ACAUCCUGGAGCAGCAGGUUUGGACCCCUCCAGAGGUCCACACCCCUCUGCCUGCCGGAGCUUGUAAUGGGUGGAACCGAUACUCUGGGGCAGGCUUCUGCCUUAUCUAAAGGCCCUGUGGAAAGCAGGGCCUGCAGACCCCCUCCUCCUGUGGGAAGUCACCCAUUGGAGCUCCACCACAAGGUUCUAGAACAGUGGGCACAGAAUAGCUCCACAAUCCACCGAACACCAUGAUUGGGAGAACCAGGAGCGAGAAAGUUCCACUGUUUACAAAUGGAUGAAGCCAACAUUCAUCAGAAAGCAGCCCCUCUGAGCCCCUCCAAAGAAAUCCACGCAACUGCAAACACACAACGGAGCGUUGCACAACCACACUUCUGUACACCGUAGCGGGGUAUGUAUGUGUUUUUACUAAACUGGUUCCCUUUUCUUCCUGGGAAACUACAACAUAUCCACCAGGCUUUCCUGUAAUUAGGUUUAGCCAUACAACAGUUCUGGCCAAUGGAACCUAGGCAGAAGUUAUGUUUGCCCCUCCAAGCCCAUCCUAGCAAAAGCCUCCUAUCUAGAUCUCUUCUAGUCUGCUGGUGAGAUGCAGAGGACCCAGUGGAGAAUCACAAGGUCUUACGGGAAUGGUGGAGCCGCAAGAUAGAAUAAUCCUGGGUCCCUGAAUAACUGCAUUGAGCAGAGUUCACUAUACUGUGCACAAGAAAAAAACAUUGAUUAUGUUAAUGCACUGAGGAUUUGGGCUUCAUAACCCUAAUUAAUACAUAUAAGUGUCUUAUUUUUCCUUUAUAUAUUUACUACCUCCGGAAUGGAAGCCUUCAUGAAGACAAGAACUCUGUCCUCUUAUAUUCACUCUUCUGUCCAGAACAGUCUGACAUAAAGAAGAUGCUUAGAUAACAUUUGUUGACCAAAAUAUUAGCAAGUUCAGGACAAGAUAAAUAGCAAUCAAUGACCUGGAGUCCUUGGAAAGAUGGGAUAAAAGCACACACACAGAACUGCUCUUCUGUAAACUGCAAAGUUACGUGAAGAUGUUAAAUUUUACCAUCACCACAGAGGUGGGUUUGCAAAUGCACAGGUGAGAGCAUGCAUGAAGACACAGUCACACCAAGUUCUUACAGCAUCGUGGUGCAGACACAGAAAACUGGUACUGAACAACACUAUGAGCAAACCUACAAACCCAAGUGACACUGCAUAUUUCUCUUCCAACUUCUUGAAAAAAAAUGCCCAAACAUCUUAGAGGAAUCUCCUCCUCCUCUCCACCACCGCCUGGCUGGUUUCCUGCGUUACAGAGAUCUUUCCAACCCAUUCCCUCUAGCAUUUAGGAAGGGCGGAGUCUCAAGUCAACCUGAGGAUAGCCACUUGCCUGAGGCUGAAACAAUCACCAGCGGCUUGGCAAGAAAUGGCUGUGUCCUAAAGCGACAGCUGAAGAGGACCUUUGGCUGAGCAACAAAAUUCUGCAGUGGCUGGUAACUGCCUAGAGCUGAAUUGUACACAGAGGCUGAAUUUCCUUCUCUUAAAACCAGUGCCAGUCCCAGAUUAUUUAUUUCUUCAACAGCAAGAGAAACAACAAAAGCGUUGAGCCCCUACUCUGGGCAAGGCAUGGGCUAGAUCCACCAACCACCCCUCCAGGCACUUCUCCAAUGAGCUGAAAAAAUGAGAGUAACCUUGGACACGGAUGGAGAGCUUCCAAUGUGCUGGGCACUGCAGUAUUUGAUGUGGACUAUCUCACUCCAUCCUCAGAGAAUCCCAUGCAAUAGGACUUCCAUUAUCAUCAUUUUACCAAAGAGGAAACUGACGAUAAAUGCUGAUACAUCUGGUAUAGACACCUGCCAGACACUGUCCAUCCCAAGAAAGUCAUAUUAAAUAUAAUUCUUCAUAUAUUAGAGCUUUCUCCUAUUUGUACUAGUUUUUGUACCAGUAUCUUUAAUGUUUAUAUUUCCAGCUGAAAAAGUAAUACAUGGCUAUUAUAGGAAAUGAACAGAAUGCAGAGACAGAUUCUCUCAAUUGUCCAUUACAUUACUGGCCAGGCCUGAACUGGGUCAGGCAACUGGAGUUUAGCGGUGGAAAGACCACUGGGCUAGGAGACAAAUCACUGUGCAGAGAAUCCCAGCUCUCUCCCUAUGUGCUAGCUGAGUAACUUGAAAACAAUCUCUUAAUCUCUUUGACUCUUAGUCUUCCUAUCUGCAAAAUGGGUUAUUAUUGUCUACCUCCAAGGAUUACCUGUGCUUAGCAAAGGGACCGUCAUACAAGUACUAAAAACACAAAUAAAAAGUGACCAGCCUCUUCCCUCCCUAACGUCAUUAUUAUUUGAUUAGUCUUGCCCUCUCUACUUUCUUCCUCCAAGAAGGCAGCCUUCCCACACUUCGGGGCAUCGUUGCUGUCUCUCUUCCCUUCUUUGCCAACCUGCCAGGGCUAUUUCUCUCUCUCAGCAUUUUCCUCUCUCAUAAAUAUUUGCAAAGCCUGCUCUGUCUCUUUGUGUUUUCACGCCUGGUUUUGCCACCUUCUUCGCAGAGCUGAUUUGAUAUAAAUAUUUAUGUGUAAAAAUAUGUUCUCCUGGUCCCCCGUGUCCUCCCUACACACUACCACUGGGGCACUGCUAACAUGGUGUCACCAUGCAGCCUGGUGGGGCAUCGGGGCCACCAACUUCACCCUGCAUUGUGGGAGGAACAGAUGUUUGAUGUGGAAUCCCCUGGUAACAAGUCCCCUGGUAACAGGUCUUCGCUGAUACACCAAAGGGCCCCUAAACUCUACAAUGGAAUCUAACAGCUUUCACUGCAAUUUUAUAGACAGUCCCAUGGGAGUUCCCUCAGGGUUGGGAGUAACUCUGUUAUCAAACUAGCUUGGCCAAAGCUAAGAGAAAUAUAUGUAUAUAAUUGUCUCUCUGCACCCUUCUUUCCUUUAAUCCAUUCUCAGGGCUGCUUGCAGACACACCUACACUACUGUCCCCUCCUGUGGACAACUACAGUCAUGAUGUCAUUUUUAAGGUCAUGUCAGCUGGAGUCACCCCAUUCCCACCUGACCUCUAAGACCACACUGUCUUCAUCCCUUUAUGUCUCCCUGUCAUGUUCUCAUUCUCCCUGGAGUCCAGCCUCCUCUUUCUGAGGUCAUCCAUCAUCCUUCUUCCAAAAAAUGUACCUCCUAGUGACUGUUGCUGUUGAAGGUGGCCUCGCUUGGUACCUUAAAUCUCAUGAAAUCCACAACAACAACAAGAACAAAACAUGAGGGACUUCCCUGGUGGCGCAGUGGUUAAGAAUAUG